UAUCAAGCAUGGAAGAGUAAUCUGUGGUAUUUAAAGAUGGGAGAUUUGGGAGGUAAUUAGGGUUAAAUGAGGUCAACAGAUUUGACCAGUAGCCCAAUGGCACUGCAGUUUUGUAAGAAGAGGAUUCUUGAACUAGGAUGCUCUGUUUUUUUGUGUGAUGCCUUGGCUAUCUGCAGAGUCCUUACCAUGCAAGAAAGACCUUCCCAAUGCAGCCACCUAGGCUUGAACUUUCCGGUCUUUAGAAUUGUGAGUUGAAUAAAAUUUGAUUCUCCAUAAGUUAUUCUACAAUAUUCAGUUAGAGCAACAACAACAACAACAAACAAAUAAACAAAACCAGCCUACAAAAGAGCCUUUACUAAAGAGGAAAAGGAAUUUAAAUUUUAAGAGAAUAAAACAAGAUGCUAAAUUGGUAGACAUAGAAAGAGAUGACAUUCACUAGAGCAAAUAAACACUGAGUAAAUACAGAAUUCUGUUACUGUCGUUAAAGGGUUAAAAAUAUUUCUCAGUGCUGAGACUGAGGCUGUUGCUCAGUGGUAAAGGGCUCUCCUGGUGUGUGUGAGGCACUGGGUUCGAUUCUCAGCACCACAUAUAAAUAAAUAAAAGCUUAUCAACAAUUAAAAAUAAAACAAAGUAGCCAAUACUCUUUAAAAAUAUUUCUCAAAAGAAAUUAAGUGCAGAAAAUUAGAAAAAAAGAAAAAAAAAAUGAAUGAGAGGAGAUAAAUUCAAUUUAUGGAACUAUAAGUGAAAUUUUUAUUAACCUGAAUUACAAUAUAAAUGCAAAUACUAAAUCAACAUAUCCAGUUAGCUAGAGAUUUGCUGCAGGUGGAAAAAGAAAUCCAUCUGACAAGUCCAUACUAAACCUUAUGCCUGUUACUUAGCAUAUAGACAAAAUUAUUUCAAAAUAUCAUUAAACUUUCUCCAUCUGCAAAUCUAUUUAUCACAUUUUGUUUUUAUAUAUUCUAUGAAAAAAGUUCCUCAAAGAAAUACCAUAAUCACUCCAUUUCUUAUGUUCUUAGUGUAUUAUUCACUGAAAUACACCAAGAUUAAGUCUAAGCAUAGAAUAAUUAGUUUUCAUGCAUUAUCAAAUUAUUAACUACAUUCCUGACUUCUGGCUAGUGUCAAGUCCUUUCUUCUACUAACAAUGUGGAUACUUCAAGUAGUUGGACGUUAUUAUUACUUAAAUAUUAGGUGUCCCCAAAAAGCACAUGUAUGAGACAAUGCAAGAAAGUUUUGAGGUGAAAUGAUUUGUGUCAUGAGAGCCUAAAUCCUUAAAUAGGGAUUAAUUGGAUGGUAACUGGGCAGGUAGGGGUGGCUGGAGGAGGUGUGUUCCUGGGGGCAUGCCUUUGGCGUAUACAUUUUAUCAUUGUUGAGCACACACCCCUCUUACCCUUUCUCUCUCCCUUUCUCUCCCCAACUCCCUCCUUCCCCGCUCCUCUCCCUUCCUAGUUGUUUUCCCAGCUGUUUUCUGAUAAGAACAGAUACUACACUUGAUCUUAGCCAAAAGGCCGAGAAGCGAUUCCCCAGCUGUUUUCUUCCAUCACUCUCUUCUGCC
rnacentral:lncRNA from 1 species